AAUACCGCAUAACAAAAUUAACCGCAUGGUUGAUUUUUAAAAGAUGGCUUCGGCUAUCACUUCUGGAUGGACCCGCGGCGUAUUAGCUAGUUGGUGAGAUAAAGGCUCACCAAGGCAGUGAUACGUAGCCGACCUGAGAGGGUAAUCGGCCACAUUGGGACUGAGACACGGCCCAGACUCCUACGGGAGGCAGCAGUAGGGAAUCUUCCACAAUGGACGCAAGUCUGAUGGAGCAACGCCGCGUGAGUGAUGAAGGCUUUCGGGUCGUAAAACUCUGUUGUUGGAGAAGAACGUGUGUGAGAGUAACUGCUCAUGCAGUGACGGUAUCCAACCAGAAAGCCACGGCUAACUACGUGCCAGCAGCCGCGGUAAUACGUAGGUGGCAAGCGUUAUCCGGAUUUAUUGGGCGUAAAGCGAGCGCAGGCGGUCUUUUAAGUCUAAUGUGAAAGCCUUCGGCUUAACCGAAGAAGUGCAUUGGAAACUGGGAGACUUGAGUGCAGAAGAGGAGAGUGGAACUCCAUGUGUAGCGGUGAAAUGCGUAGAUAUAUGGAAGAACACCAGUGGCGAAGCGGCUCUCUGGUCUGCAACUGACGCUGAGGCUCGAAAGCAUGGGUAGCGAACAGGAUUAGA
rnacentral:rRNA from 1 species